CCGCUUGAAUUCGCGCCCCCGCCUGCGUAUGUUCAUGCCGUGCCCGCAAGGGGACUAUGGACAUAAACGCGCGUGGAAUAAGCGGAUCGGACCCGGGGGCGGUACCCGGCGGCUCCACCAGACAACCCUCGUUGGGGGAAGAUGGGGCCGAAACAGGAUCGACGAACGUGUAAAGGCGUUGCUUUGUCCCGGUGAGGUACCACCGUUAUCGGUCCGUAAAGCAUAAUUGCCAACGACAAUCGUGCUCCGGUUGCUCUGGCUGCGUAAGCAGUCCGAAAGACCGAAAUCUAAGUCCUUGCGCUUAGCCGCGUAAGGCGGGGUUCGCAGGCACCUGGCAACAGAAGCCUGCACU
rnacentral:tmRNA from 1 species